rnacentral:rRNA from 1 species
GCUAUGCAUCCAACGCGUUGGGAGCUCUCCCAUAUGGUCGACCUGCAGGCGGCCGCGAAUUCACUAGUGAUUCGUAUUACCGCGGCUGCUGGCACGAAGUUAGCCGGGGCUUAUUCUGCGGGUACCGUCAUCAUCGUCCCCGCCAAAAGAGCUUUACAACCCGAAGGCCUUCAUCACUCACGCGGCAUGGCUGGAUCAGGGUUGCCCCCAUUGUCCAAUAUUCCCCACUGCUGCCUCCCGUAGGAGUCUGGGCCGUGUCUCAGUCCCAGUGUGGCUGAUCGUCCUCUCAGACCAGCUAACGAUCGUCGCCUUGGUGAGCCAUUACCUCACCAACUAGCUAAUCGUACGCGGACUCAUCUUUUGGCGAUAAAUCUUUAUCCCGUAGGAACCAUCCGGUAUUAGCCCCAGUUUCCCGGGGUUAUUCCGAACCAAAAGGCAGAUAUCCACGCGUUACUCACCCGUGCUCCACUCGUGCAUUGCUGCACGCGUUCGACUUGCAUGUGUUAAGCCUGCCGCCAGCGUUCGUUCUGAGCCAUGAUCAAACUCUAAUCGAAUUCCCGCGGCC